rnacentral:lncRNA from 1 species
UUCAAUCAAAUUUCAUAGGUUGAACAUCAACGUUUUCAUCAUUCACACAAUUCAAUCAAAUUUCAUAGGUUUAACAACAACAUUUUCAUCAUUCACACAAUUCAAUCAAAUUUCAUAGGUUUAACAACAUCAUCUUCAUCAUUCACAUAAUUCAACCAAAUAUCAUGGGCUUAACAACAACAUUUUCAUCAUUCACACAAUUUAAUCUAACUUCAUAGGUUUAAC